CCGCACAUCAUGUUGGAACCCGCUCACGUACCUGCAGUGUCUUGAGAGGAGCGCCAAUAUCACUCACGUCACCGACUUGCUGAAGGUCAAGCUGGAUCCCGCAGAAUGCCGCCGGACGCUGCAGGCGGCGUCGGCGUGCUCCGCGGACCAGGCCUCUCGCUGCGCCGGCGUGCCUGGUCGGCUGGAUCAGGCGCUGACUGCCUUCCUGCUGGAGUCGCCGUGCGGCAGCUCGGCGCUUUACGUGCCGCCGGCGCCGGCCGCCGCCGCCACCGUCACCGGCGCUGCACUGGCCAUUACGGUGCUGGCGCUUGCCACAGUGCUGCUGGGAGUGGCGCUGGGCCUGCUGGCCUACCGCACCGCCUGCUUCCGCAUACCGCUAGCCGGUCGCUAGCAAAGCCAGGCGGGAUGCUAAGCGCCCGAGGCAUGGGCGAGAGGCUCAGAGCACAAGGAAGUGUCUGGAAGGUCGCGCCAGCUGCAGCUGUGGAUAGCUGGAGACUGGGCCGAGGCCGAACACCAGCCAGCGAAUCUGUCUCGGGCGUGUCCGUGGACGCGAUGCCGCUGCUGAGGUUACAUCGGCAGCGUCCGGUGCGUUCGAGUGCACGUGGGAGGGUAGGCCCAUCGAGAACGAGCGACUGUGGAGCCGUGCCAGGUCGGGAGCGGAACGGAGCAUCGGUUAGGGUCACUUAUAGCGUUACAUCUAUGGGUGCGUCAUUUAUAGUACUACAUUUUCUGCAUCGCCCUCGGCUCGUGUAGCGCCGUGCGGUUGUUGUCAUGUACGCCGUCUGUUGUCAUGAGCGCCAUCCGCCAACGGCGAGCAAGCGCUGUGCGGUCGUUGUCAUGUACGCCGUCUGUUAUAAUGAGCGCAACCCGUCAACGACAGACAAGCGCUGUGCGGCUGUUGUCAUGUGCGCCGUCUGUUGUCAUGAGCGCAUCCGUCAACGGCAAGCAAGCGCCGUGGCAGAUGACAUCCUGCGUGAACAUAGCACCCGCCUCGCCACAAAAUAUGAAGGAACACAUGUGUAGUUUUCGGGUUUGACAAGCAUGUCCACUCGCUAAGUUCCAUCUCGUUGACUGAUCUCAGACAACAAACAAUGCGUUGAGCAUUUGCAUAUUCCGGACCUUCAACGAACGUUCAGUAUUCGCCGCGAUUGAUCCGCGUCAAUACAACGUUUCAGAUGCA